rnacentral:tRNA from 2 species
CGGGGUGUGGCGUAGUUGGUAGCGCGCUGGGCUGGGGGUCCAGAGGUCGCAGGUUCGAAUCCUGUCACCCCGACCA